rnacentral:rRNA from 1 species
CCUACGGGCGGCUGCAGUGGGGAAUAUUGGACAAUGGGCGAAAGCCUGAUCCAGCCAUGCCGCGUGUGUGAAGAAGGCCUUCGGGUUGUAAAGCACUUUCAGUGGGGAAGAAAGCCUUGGGGCUAAUACCCUCGAGGAAGGACAUCACCCACAGAAGAAGCACCGGCUGAACUCCGUGCCAGCAGCCGCGGUAAUACGGAGGGUGCGAGCGUUAAUCGGAAUUACUGGGCGUAAAGCGCGCGUAGGCGGUCUGAUAAGCCGGUUGUGAAAGCCCCGGGCUCAACCUGGGAACGGCAUCCGGAACUGUCAGGCUAGAGUGCAGGAGAGGAAGGUAGAAUUCCCGGUGUAGCGGUGAAAUGCGUAGAGAUCGGGAGGAAUACCAGUGGCGAAGGCGGCCUUCUGGACUGACACUGACGCUGAGGUGCGAAAGCGUGGGUAGCAAACAGGAUUAGAUACCCGGGUAGUC